rnacentral:rRNA from 1 species
CCCUGCCAUUUGUACACACCGCCCGUCGCUACUACCGAUUGAAUGGCUCAGUGAGGCCUUCGGACUGGCUCGAGGAGGUUGGCAACGACCACCUCAAGCCGGAAAGUUCGUCAAACUCGGUCAUUUAGAGGAAG